CCUUAACUUCACCUGCCAACUCUCUGGCCCUGUCAAGGCCCACUCCCCUCCUGUGUUGCUCCAUGGGCUUCAGUAUGAGAAACUGGUUGACACACAACGUAGAUGAUUUGCAAAACCUCUCUUACUCAGCCAUAGUCAAACUUCGGCUAUUUUAGCGUACAUUUUACAUUUGAAUUUUCAGUUCACUGCAACUCUGUGUACCAUCAAUAGAACCAAUUAAAAAUUAUCAGAAAUUCAGUAAAUUUCUAAUUUUAGGCCAAAAUACCUAAACUGUAAGCAUAGCUGAAAAUUUUAAUAGUUUGGAUAUUGUGGUCUGAAAUUUAAAUCGUCUUUGAAUUCCCAACAAUUCAC